GAGUAUUGUAGAGGAAGGUAGAAUUCCACGUGUAGCGGUGAAAUGCGUAGAGAUGUGGAGGAAUACCGGUGGCGAAGGCGGCCUUCUGGACAGAUACUGACGCUGAGAUGCGAAAGCGUGGGGAGCAAACAGGAUUAGAUACCCUGGUAGUCCACGCUGUAAACGAUGUCGAUUUGGAGUUUGUUGCCUAGAGUGAUGGGCUCCGAAGCUAACGCGAUAAAUCGACCGCCUGGGGAGUACGGCCGCAAGGUUAAAACUCAAAUGAAUUGACGGGGGCCCGCACAAGCGGUGGAGCAUGUGGUUUAAUUCGAUGCAACGCGAAGAACCUUACCUGGUCUUGACAUCCACAGAAUCUUGUAGAGAUACGAGAGUGCCUUCGGGAACUGUGAGACAGGUGCUGCAUGGCUGUCGUCAGCUCGUGUUGUGAAAUGUUGGGUUAAGUCCCGCAACGAGCGCAACCCUUAUCCUUUGUUGCCAUCGAUUAGGUCGGGAACUCAAAGGAGACUGCCGUUGAUAAAGCGGAGGAAGGUGGGGACGACGUCAAGUCAUCAUGGCCCUUACGACCAGGGCUACACACGUGCUACAAUGGCGUAUACAAAGGGAGGCGACCUCGCGAGAGUAAGCGGACCUCACAAAGUACGUCUAAGUCCGGAUUGGAGUCUGCAACUCGACUCCAUGAAGUCGGAAUCGCUAGUAAUCGUGAAUCAGAAUGUCACGGUGAAUACGUUCCCGGGCCUUGUACACACCGCCCGUCACACCAUGGGAGUGGGUUGCACCAGAAGUAGAUAGCUUAACCUUCGGGAGGGCGUUUACCACGGUGUGGUUCAUGACUGGGGUGAAGUCGUAACAAGGUAACCGUAGGGGAACCUGCGGUUGGAUCACCUCCUUAC
rnacentral:rRNA from 1 species